rnacentral:lncRNA from 1 species
CCUAGGAAAAAUUGGCAGCGGAGGGUUUCUUUCCUUCGGAAAAUCUUCUUUGUCCUCGUUCAAGUUCACUCCGAUGUUGUCUGAACCUCAGGAUCCUACCUUGUACUUUCUAAAGCUCUCAGCUAUAUCAGUAGCCGGCCGUAAACUGGGCGUGGCAGCAUCCGGCUACCGAGUCCCUACGAUCAUAGACUCGGGAACAACCAUAUCGCGCCUAACCGCAUCAGUGUAUAAGGUCCUUAGACAGGAGUUAGUUCGCAUCAUAUCGUCCA